rnacentral:sRNA from 1 species
GUCGGGUGUGGUGGUGCAUGCCUGUAAUCCCAGCUACUUGGGAGGCUGAGGCAGGAGAAUCACUUGAACCCAGGAGGCGGAGGUUUUGGUGAGCCGAGAUCGUGCCAUUGCACUACAGCCUGGGCAACAAGAGGAAAACUCCAUCUCAAAAAUAAAAUAAAGUAGGCCAGGUGCGGUGGCUCACUCCUGUAAUCUGAGCACUUUGGGAGGCUGAGGUGGGUGGAUCACGAGGUCAAGAGAUCGAGACCUCCCUGGCUAACAUGGUGAAACCCCAUCUCU